GGCGCAACGACACGACAACAACAAGCAAGAGGCCGUCGCAGAGCGUGGUGCAAGUGGACGCGCAGGGCCGGAGGUACCUCAUAGCAUACCCCGCGCCCGCGGACAAGCUGGAAACCAAACCUGAUAUCCUCAACCCUAAGUCUGAUAACGAGCCUCCUCGAGUGGUGUUAGAGUCAACCGACAACAAAAGCUACACCAUAAGAGAGGCGAACAAGGAGGGCGCCUCCUAUAGCUCUCCUCCGACUGACGACGAAAUGAUGCCUCAGAGAUAACAGAAGGACGAGACACAACGACCACUGUAAAUAUAACUAAACUAUACGGUAGAGGUACAGGUUGAUUGUUUCAGAUGCCAUAUUUAUUACGCGACAAAGUUGAGGCGCAGUUGGAACGUAAGGCGCGCCAUACUUUUCACCUGCAUUCCUGCAUUGUAUCAGUUAAAUGCGUCUUGAAGGGUUAUUUAUUGAAUUUCUUUGAAGAUAAUUUUUGCAAAAGCGUCUUUUUGGCACAAAGACACAUAUUAAAUUGAUAUUCUUGUUUGAUUUCUCUGUAUCAAUUUUGUACAAAAUAUGAUUUUAUAAACUUUUCGACCAACAUAAAUAAUGUUUCGUCAUUUCAUACUUCGGCCAAUCCUUGCGUGCCCAAAAGUGCUUCAAAACGUACGUAAAUAUGGCAUGAAUAUAAAUCAACCUCUCAUGCAGUAGGUUUUCUUUCAACUGGGUGCAAAGAUUGCUAAGAAAGUUAAUCAAAAUUAUUUAAUUUAGUCAAAAGAAAGAAUAAGAAACACAGCUGCUAUAGGCCUUCAUGUCCAACGAACAUCUUCCUAAAAAGUAAACCUAACAAUGUUUAAAAUGUAUUAAGAAAUUUUAAGAUUUUUAAUCUUAAUAUUUCUUAAGAAUCUCUAAGAUAACCUAUAUCAUGCAACAAAGUUAAUACAUUUCUACACUUUUCUUAUGCUAUCCUGCAUCCAGUAGAUAGAGUUUUUACUGCAGUCGUCUCUACUGUGCUAUUUGUAAAUUCCAAAUGCCAACAAAACUUGACUAUAAGAUACCAUAGGACUCUUCCAUAUCAAAUUGUUUGGUUAUAAUAAGUUUAUAUCAAUAAGGCUUAUUUGGUUGUCAAUAUUAAGAGCUUACUGAAAUCUUAAGGCUUGUAGAUUUUUAGAAAAAAUAACUAUUUACAGUCAGAAAAGUGAGUUAAUUCACACUCGUAAGAGUGGUUCCCAAUACAAAUAAAUUUCACUCUUAAGUAACUAAGUUUUAAGCUCCUGUAGCUAUUUAAACCAACACAAAUUGUCACUUAGUAUGCAAGAAUUUGAUUUUGAUUAUGCGAACAUCAGGCCUCCCCAACUCGUCUGGCCUGUGUGGGGAGUGUUGACUAAAAUCCUCAGAUCAUAGAUGAUCUGAGACUGAUGCCCAUUUUCACCAUCAAUCCCUAAUUUUUAAGUGACCCUUAUGGUAACACAUAACAGGAAUUUUGUUUUCAAAGGGGUCACUUAAAAAUUAGGGAUUGAUGGUGAAAACGGGCAUAAAUCUUACAUUUGUCUCUGAUUUUGAAAGGGUUGUUACAGUGGAGACAAAAUGAGCUGAUGAUGAUGACGACUCUCACAGAGAUUUCAAAAUCCACUAGCCAUAAGAUUUUAGUAUGAAUAUAGUUAUUUAAACUGAUAUGAACGAUUGUUUACUUCUUGUGACUGAUUUAUGAUAAGAUUAAUGUAAUAAUUUAUCAUUAUCAAAUGCUUUUUAUGGCAUAGGAUUUUGUUAACAUAUUCAAUUGAAAUUGUCAAAUGAGUUUCUUACUAAUUUAAAACAUACUCGAGAGCAAUGAAUUCGAGAUUAAGUAUAUUAAUAUAAAAAAAAAUGCUAUUGUUAUAAUAAAAUGUGAAAGUUUAUCUUUUUAUUUAGUAGUAAAUUUUGUUCUUUCGGCGCCAGCACAUCAAGCUAACAUAUUCUUGCAAAUUGUCACUUAAUAAUUUUAUGUUUUACUUUAUUAAAUCAAAAGUUUAAAGUACCUAACUGUGCUAUCGAUCAGACAAAUUACUUUAUUUCUAGAAUAAUAUUGAUAUUAUGUUGACAAAUUUUGUAUGUCAGCGUGUCAAUUUUCAUAUUAAUCUGGCUAUUAAAAAUUGGCCCUAAUUAAAUUUUGUAAAUAAGAUAGUCGCUAAGCAUGUAUUAAAUUUUGUAAAAUUUAUUGAAUGUUUUGUAAAUAUUUCAUUUCAAACUCUUGAAAAAAUAUCAAAAAUGUUAAAUUAUAAAAUUAUAUGGAGUCAGCCUUAAUGA